ACUCCUACGGGAGGCAGCAGUUGGGAAUAUUGGACAAUGGAGGGAACUCUGAUCCAGUGACGCCGCGUGAAGGAAGAAGGUCUUCGGAUGUAAACUUAUUUAUCAGGGAAGAAGAAAAUGACAG
rnacentral:rRNA from 1 species